rnacentral:rRNA from 1 species
GACGAACGCUGGCGGCGUGCUUAACACAUGCAAGUCGAACGGAAAGGCCCUGCUUUUGUGGGGUGCUCGAGUGGCGAACGGGUGAGUAACACGUGAGUAACCUGCCCUUGACUUUGGGAGAACUUCAGGAAACUGGGGCUAAUACCGGAUAGGAGCUCCUGCUGCAUGGUGGGGGUUGGAAAGUUUCGGCGGUUGGGGAUGGACUUGCGGCUUAUCAGCUUGUUGGUGGGGUAGUGGCUUACCAAGGCUUUGACGGGUAGCCGGCCUGAGAGGGUGACCGGCCACAUGGGGACUGAGAUACGGCACAGACUCCUACGGGAGGCAGCAGUGGGGAAUAGUGCACAAUGGGCGGAAGCCUGAUGCAGCAACGCCGCGUGCGGGAUGACGGCCUUCGGGUUGUAAACCGCUUUCUGCUGUGACGAAGCGUUAGUGACGGUAAUGUGUAAAGAAGCACCGGCUAACUACGUG